ensembl:miRNA
GUAACGGAACCCAUAAUGCAGCUGUUACCGAGACGACCCAGCUGAUUGCGGGUUCCGUACCCA